GUCUCUGUGGUGCAAUUGGUUAGUGCGUUCGGCUGUUAACUGAAAGGUUGGUGGUUCAAGCCCACCCAGGUACG
rnacentral:tRNA from 1 species